rnacentral:lncRNA from 1 species
UGUGGCUAUGUUCCUGACUGUGAAAUGGCUCAGUGCCAGUAGAAGCUGUGCAGAGCUUUCCUGCCCGGGGUGUGCAAAGGCUUGGUGGUGGGAUUCCUAUCCAUGGAUGCUGCAGAAGUUUUGCCCUGUGAAAUGAGCCUGUUUUCUUUGGAGAAGAAUGAAGAAGGAAAGCCUCAAAUACAUGGAUAUAAUUGUCUUCAUUAAAAGCUGGCUGAAAAGACUUUAUCCUGUGGGGUCUACUUUCUGUCUCUCUGAGCCUGAAUCUGCAAUUCAAAGCAAUGGGAUCAAGAGAACUGGAAGGGAGAGGUUUCUGUGCUUACAUCACCACCCGACUGCAAUUCCACUAAAGACCUCAGCAAAGCAGAGCUGUUGGCUCCUAAGGACUGAGUAUGGCAUAUCCCUGGCAUCACCUGAUUGCACAGUGGCAUUUUAGGAUUUCCCAGGUAAAAAUAUCUAUGUUUGAGACUUA